ensembl:lncRNA YWHAH-AS1 YWHAH antisense RNA 1
CAUCCUCAGGCCUCUGAAGCAUCAUCACUUCAAGACCUGUGUUGUGUCUCCUCUGGAUCCUCACAGUGCCUCUGUCUGUCCCGUUCACGUGGCGAGUGGACAGUGAAGACCGAACUCCUAAGGUUGUGAUGAGAAUUCAAUGAGAACAUGCAUGCCCAGCACAGCUUCAAGCACACAGAAACAGUAAAACCGAUUGCAGGCAGUUCUCUGGAUCUCAGCCCACCCCAGGUAGAUGGUGACUCAAGUUGUUCUGCAGAGACUGGUCCCCCUGCCUCUGUUGCCAUGGCACUGCAGCACAGCCUGGCCAAUCAGGAAGGAGAUGAGUAUCUGAGUCUCUGUUGCUAAAGCUGGAGCAGGACACCUAGCCAAUGGGAAGGGCAGCAGAGUGGAGCCACCAUGGAAACCUAAGCAGCUCUGGAUAAAGUGGAUCUACAAGAAAUAACUUCCCAAGGAGGAGUCCUGUAAAUAGCAUGAGUGGACAAAUACGACUCAGGCUGCUUUUUGCCAUGAAAUUGCCAGACAAGGAGGGAUGUCUGUUUCAGAGUCCUGGGCCAGGGGAGUGAAAUCACACAGUUACCUGCAUGCAGAGCCCAGAGUAGAAGACCUAGCUCCCUUUACCCUGCAACAUGCAAUCUUCUUAAACCAGUCUUCUUAUCCUUGGGUGGGCAGUCAGGGAGCUGUGCACGCCCACACCUCCAACACCCUUUAUUUUGCAAACAUGGGCAUAAAAACAACUGCAAGGGAAAAUGUGUCCCACCCCU